CCUAGGGGGGCUGCAGUAAGGAAUAUUGGGCAAUGGACGCAAGUCUGACCCAGCCAUGCCGCGUGAAGGAAGACGGCCCUAUGGGUUGUAAACUUCUUUUCUCAGGGGGUAAACUCCGGAACGUGUUCCGGACUGAAAGUACCUGAGGAAUAAGCAUCGGCUAACUCCGUGCCAGCAGCCGCGGUAAUACGGAGGAUGCGAGCGUUAUCCGGAUUCAUUGGGUUUAAAGGGUGCGCAAGCGGACGGAUAAGAAAUUCUGAUGCUCAACAUCAGCCGUGCCUUCGAUACUGUAUAUCUAGAGUCAAGUUGGAGUAGGCGGAAUGUGUUGUGUAGCGGUGAAAUGCUUAGAUAUAACACAGAACACCGAUCGCGAAGGCAGCUUACUAAACUUUGACUGACGCUCAUGCACGAAAGCGUGGGGAUCAAACAGGAUUAGAUACCCCAGUAGUC
rnacentral:rRNA from 1 species